rnacentral:piRNA from 1 species
UACAGCCUGGGACUGCAGCCU